AUCGAACCCGGAGAUAGCUGGUUCUCCUCGAAAUAGCUUUAGGGCUAGCCUCAUGGAUCAUUGAUGGGGGUAGAGCACUGAAUGUGCGCGGGGGCCACAAAGCCUACCAAACGCUAUCAAACUUCGAAUACCAUACAAUGCAGACCAUGGGAGUCAGUCCGCGAGAGAUAAGUUCCGCGGGCAAAAGGGGAACACCCCAGAUCAACCGCUAAGGUCCCCAAGUUCACGUUAAGUGGAGAAGGAUGUGGAAUUGCACAGACAACCAGGAUGUUGGCUCAGAAGCAGCCACACAUUUAAAGAGUGCGUAAUAGCUCACUGGUCGAGUGAUUGUGCGCCGAAGAUGUCCGGGGCUAAACGUGACACCGAAGCGAUGGGCGCAUCUGAAGAAGAUGCGCGGUAGAGGAGCAAUGUGCAGAGGCAGAAGCCGUAUCGAGAGGCACGGUGGACACUGCACAAGAGAGAAUGCCGGUAUGAGUAGCGAGAGGCAUGCGAGAAACAUGCCCGUCGAAAGCCCAAGGUUUCCUGGGGAAGGUUCAUCCGCCCAGGGUAAGUCGGGGCCUAAGCCGAGGACGGAAGUCGUAGGCGAUGGACAGCAGGUGUAGAUUCCUGCACUACCGAUGGAAUGAAGCAGUGACACAGAAGGAUAACUCGAGCAGGGUGAUGGUCAACCCUGUGCAAGCAUCGAGGUUGGGUUGUAGUGAAGUACGCAACCCUAUAAGCUGAGGUGUGAUGCGGACCGAAAUUUCAGUAGGGAAGCGAGUGAGUUCACGCUGGCGAGAAAAGCUGCUAGUAUAUCCAAAGGUACCCGUACCGGAAACCGACGCAGGUGGGCGAGGAGAGAAUCCUGAGACGAACGGGAGAACCCUUGUUAAGGAACUCGGCAAAAUGACCCCGUAACUUCGGGAGAAGGGGUGCCUCGAAAGAGGCCGCAGAGAAUAGUCACAAGCGACUGUUUAGCAAAAACACAGGUAUCUGCGAAAGCGAGAGCUGACGUAUAGGUGCUGACGCCUGCCCGGUGCUGGAAGGUUAAGGGGAAGUGUUAGGGGAAACCCGAAGCAGAGAACCGAAGCCCCAGUAAACGGCGGCCGUAACUAUAACGGUCCUAAGGUAGCGAAAUUCCUUGUCGGGUAAGUUCCGACCCGCACGAAUGGCGUAACGACUUGUGAGCUGUCUCAACAGGAGGCCCGGUGAAAUUGAAGUAUGUGUGAAGAUGCACAUUACCCGCGACUGGACGGAAAGACCCCGUAGAGCUUUACUGUAACCUGACAUUGGAUCUUGAUAACGGAUGCACAGGAUAGGUGGGACGCUGGGAGACGAGGACUUUGGUUUUCGUGGAGCGGCCGUUGGGAUACCACUCUUCUGUUAUUGAGAUUCUAACCUCAAGCCGUGAGCCGGAUGAGAGACAGUGUCAGGCGGACAGUUUGACUGGGGCGGUCGCCUCCGAAAGAGUAACGGAGGCGCCCAAAGGUACCCUCAGAAUGGAUGGAAACCAUUCGAAGAGAGCAAAGUCAGAAGGGUGCUUGACUGCGAGACCAACAAGUCGAGCAGGUACGAAAGUAGGGCUUAGUGAUCCGGCGGUAAGAGAGUGGAAUUGCCGUCGCUCAACGGAUAAAAGCUACCUCGGGGAUAACAGGCUGAUCUCCCCCAAGAGUUCACAUCGACGGGGAGGUUUGGCAC
rnacentral:rRNA from 1 species